rnacentral:tRNA from 1 species
GGAGAGGUGGCCGAGAGGCUGAAGGCAACCGCCUGCUAAGCGGUUGAUGGGCUUAACACCUAUCCGAGGGUUCGAAUCCCUCCCUCUCCG